rnacentral:rRNA from 1 species
GACGAACGCUGGCGGCGUGCUUAACACAUGCAAGUCGAACGGAAAGGCCCUGCUUUUGUGGGGUGCUCGAGUGGCGAACGGGUGAGUAACACGUGAGUAACCUGCCCUUGACUUUGGGAUAACUUCAGGAAACUGGGGCUAAUACCGGAUAGGAGCUCCUGCUGCAUGGUGGGGGUUGGAAAGUUUCGGCGGUUGGGGAUGGACUCGCGGCUUAUCAGCUUGUUGGUGGGGUAGUGGCUUACCAAGGCUUUGACGGGUAGCCGGCCUGAGAGGGUGACCGGGCAGGGUGAGAGGACGAGGCGGCCCAGACACAGAGAGGAGGCAGGAGGGGGGAGGAGGGAAAGAGGGGCGGAAGCAUGAGGCAGGAACGCCGCUGGGGGGAGGUCGGCCGCGUGGUUGUGACCGGCUUGCGACGGUGAUGAAGCGGGAGUGCAGGAAAGGAGCAAAGAAGAAACGGCAAACUACAUGCCAGCGGCAGCGGUAAGAAGAGGAAUAGAAAACGGGUGAGC